UGGGGAAUUUUGGACAAUGGGCGCAAGCCUGAUCCAGCAAUGCCGCGUGCAGGAUGAAGGCCUUCGGGUUGUAAACUGCUUUUGUACGGAACGAAACGGUCCUUUCUAAUACAAGGGGCUAAUGACGGUACCGUAAGAAUAAGCACCGGCUAACUACGUGCCAGCAGCCGCGGUAAUACGUAGGGUGCGAGCGUUAAUCGGAAUUACUGGGCGUAAAGGGCGCGUAGGCGGCCUACCAAGUCAGGCGUGAAAGCCCCGGGCUUAACCUGGGAAUUGCGCUUGAGACUGGUAAGCUUGAGUUCGGGAGAGGUGAGUGGAAUUCCCAGUGUAGAGGUGAAAUGCGUAGAUAUGCGGAGGAACACCGAUGGCGAAGGCAGUCCCCUGGACCUGUACUGACGCUCAUGCACGAAAGCGUGGGGAGCAAACAGG
rnacentral:rRNA from 1 species